UCCUCCGUGGCGCAAUUGGCUAGCGCGUUCGACUGUUACACGAUGUCUUAUCUUUGUAGCGAUAUCGAGAGGUUGGAAGUUCGAGCCUUCCCGGGGGAG